UUUCAUUCGGAUAGUUCUGAUUGUAUUAGUAGCCACUAUGUUUAUGUGAUGUAGCCAAACAUUUGAAUAUAUUAUUUUGUCAUCUCCUUGAAUUAUCGAGCUACAUGCCAAACUAACUACCCCGUGAUGUUUGCAAUUGUAAGGUCUUCCACCGCCUGCUUAAUAACUGCUGGGCUUGAAUGAGUAUCUGUUUAUUUCACCGUACGUCUGUCUGUUUGUAAUUUGUGGUGGAUCAAAUAAUUUAAUUUUACAUCUUAAUGUUUAUGUUUGCAUGUCACUGAGGUUGUACAAAUUGUCCAUACAUACUCCCUCCAUCCCGGAAGGUUUAAUGAUUUACCUGAGGUUGAUCCAUCGCUAAUUAGCGUUGACGACAAUCUUUCCAAGGUUUAAUGAUUUACAUGAGUAUUGAUCUAAAGUCCAUGGAAGUUCUGAUUUGGGCAAAAAUGUGACACCAAUAGUAAUUUCUCUGGUGCAAGUAGAAUUCCAAUCCCCUUAUAUCACUGGUAUCUGCAAAUGUAUAGAAGACAUCUGCACAGAGAGAGAGAGGGAAAGAGUUUCGGUAUGAUUCUAAGUAUCUUGUUACUCAUCGCUUGAUUGUUACAGGUUAUAUUUAAAUUGGUUAUUUGAAUGAAGAAGCAGAAGGAUACUUUUGUUGAAUUGUUUCUCUACAUUUGUGUAAAGUGUGCAGGAAACUAUAUAUUUAAGAGCCUCAAGUUUAUUUCAAUCACAAAAACUCCUGCGCACGGUUGCAUGGUGCAACUGGAUUGGAUUGUGUAUAUCAGUUGAUAUGAAAUUAUUACAUCUAUAUGGAUAUGAAAUUAUUACAUCUAUAUGGGUCAGGAUAUUCCAUAUGGAUAAGGAUCUAGGUCAUGUACAACCCGGUUGCAUAGUGCAAUCGAUUGCACAUGAGACCACCUCUAUUUCAAUUUGUUUGACAUUUAUCUAUUGCAUAUGUAAAUAGAGGAAAUGCCACAAAUAUUAGAGCAUUUACUUUUGAAUAUUAACAUUGAUAUAUAAAA
rnacentral:lncRNA from 1 species